rnacentral:rRNA from 1 species
UACGUAGGGGGCGAGCGUUGUCCGGAGUUACUGGGCGUAAAGGGCAUGCAGGCGGUCCGACACGUUUUGUGUGACAGCGGGUGGCUUAACUACCCGAGGAUACGAAAGACGGUUGGACUUGAGGACUCGAGAGGGACACGGAAUUCCGGGUGGAGUGGUGAAAUGCGCAGAUAUCGGGAGGAACACCAAUGGCGAAGGCAGCUCGCUGGGACGGUACUGACGCUGAGACGCGAAAGCGUGGGGAGCAAACAGG